rnacentral:rRNA from 1 species
AGCGAACGCUGGCGGCAGGCUUAACACAUGCAAGUCGAACGGGCACUUCGGUGCUAGUGGCAGACGGGUGAGUAACACGUGGGAACGCACCUUUCGGUUCGGAAUAAUACAGGGAAACUUGUACUAAUACCGGAUACGCCCUUCGGGGAAAGAUUUAUUGCCGAUAGAUCGGCCCGCGUCUGAUUAGCUAGUUGGUGAGGUAAUGGCUCACCAAGGCGACGAUCAGUAGCUGGUCUGAGAGGAUGAUCAGCCACACUGGGACUGAGACACGGCCCAGACUCCUACGGGAGGCAGCAGUGGGGAAUAUUGGACAAUGGGCGAAAGCCUGAUCCAGCCAUGCCGCGUGAGUGAUGAAGGCCUUAGGGUUGUAAAGCUCUUUUGUCCGGGAAGAUAAUGACUGUACCGGAAGAAUAAGCCCCGGCUAACUUCGUGCCAGCCGCCGCUGUAA